rnacentral:misc_RNA from 1 species
AAGAAAGAUAAAAAAAUGUUGAGAAGAAGAAUUCAUGGGAUGGGUAUCAAAAUCAGAAAUCAGCCAUCGAGCCCAUAGAAAAAAAACAGAGGAAGUCACAGAAAUCAAAGCAAUUUUAUUAUGCAAAUAGAUAGAAAAAUAAAAGAGAGUGAGAUAGAAAGGGUCCCUAUCCCUAUUCGCCCAUUCUGAUAAAGGAUGUGACUCAGCUUCUUUCCUAAAGGGAGUCUGUAGAUUAUAGAUACCCAUUUCCAAACUUAAAAAGUCAUCUCUUUUCCUCCAUUAACACAAGCAGGUCAAGUCCCAAGACUCUGCCUUUUCUCAUCCGUUCAUCCUCCCUGCCUAUGGACAAUUCUACUUCAACAGCUUCUUCUACUCACACAACCUUAUCAAAGCCAAAAUGGGUUCUUCCUUACCGCACCCAGAACCUCAGAGACCAUUACUCCAUAGGCAAAAAGCUUGGCCAAGGUCAGUUUGGUACCACUUAUCUUUGUACCCAUAAGCCCUCAGGUCUUAACUAUGCCUGCAAAUCCAUCCCCAAAAGGAAGCUCCUUUGCAAAGAAGACUAUGAAGAUGUUUGGAGAGAAAUCCAGAUAAUGCACCACCUAUCUGAG